GGGACAACAGCAGGAAAUGGCUGCUAAUACCGCAUAAGCUUGCUGUGCCGCAUGGCACAGCAGGGAAAACCACGGUGGUACAGGAUGGGCCCGCGUCUGAUUAGUUAGUUGGCAGGGUAACGGCCUACCAAGACAACGAUCAGUAGCCGGCUUGAGAGAGUGGACGGCCACAUUGGGACUGAGACACGGCCCAGACUCCUGCGGGAGGCAGCAGUGGGGAAUAUUGCACAAUGGGGGGAACCCUGAUGCAGCAAUGCCGCGUGGGUGAAGAAGCACUCCGGUGCGUAAAGCCCUGUCAGCAGGGAAGAAAAUGACAGUACCUGACCAAGAAGCCCCGGCUAACUACGUGCCAGCAGCCGCGGUAAUACGUAGGGGGCAAGCGUUAUCCGGAUUUACUGGGUGUAAAGGGAGCGCAGGCGGCGUGGCAAGUCAGAUGUGAAAACCCGGGGCCCAACCCCGGGAGUGCAUUUGAAACUGCCAUGCUGGAGUGCCGGAGAGGUAAGCGGAAUUCCUAGUGUAGCGGUGAAAUGCGUAGAUAUUAGGAGGAACACCAGUGGCGGAGGCGGCUUACUGGACGGUAACUGACGCUGAGGCUCGAAAGCGUGGGGAGCAAACAGGAUUAGAUACUCUGGUAGUCCACGCCGUAAACGAUGAAUACUAGGUACAGGGGCACAAAAGUGCUUCUGUGCCGCAG
rnacentral:rRNA from 1 species